rnacentral:rRNA from 1 species
GACGAACGCUGGCGGCGUGCCUAAUACAUGCAAGUCGAACGCAGUGGGGACGGGUGAGUAACACGUGGGUAACCUCCCAUCAGAGGGGAUAACACUUGGAAACAGGAGCUAAACCGAUAUUGAUUGAUGGACCCGCGGUGCAUGAGCUAGUUGGUGGGGUAACGGCCCACCAAGGCCACGAUGCCUAGCCGGCCGGAGAGGGUGAUCAGCCACACUGGAACGGAGACACGGCCCAGACUCCUACGGGAGGCAGCAGUAGGGAAUCUUCGGCAAUGGGCGAAAGUCUGACCGAGCCACGCCGCGUGAGUGAAGAAGGUUUUCGGAUCGUAAAGCUCUGUUAUUAGAGAGGCGGUAUCUAACCAGAAAGCCACGGCUAACUACGUGCCAGCAGCCGCGGUAAUAC